rnacentral:rRNA from 1 species
CCUACGGGUGGCAGCAGUGAGGAAUAUUGGUCAAUGGGCGGGAGCCUGAACCAGCCAAGUCGCGUGAGGGAAGACGGUCCUAUGGAUUGUAAACUUCUUUUAUAAAGGAAUAAAACGAGGCACGUGUGCCUUUUUGCAUGUACUUUAUGAAUAAGGAUCGGCUAACUCCGUGCCAGCAGCCGCGGUAAUACGGAGGAUCCGAGCGUUAUCCGGAUUUAUUGGGUUUAAAGGGAGCGUAGAUGGGUUGUUAAGUCAGUUGUGAAAGUUUGCGGCUCAACCGUAAAAUUGCAAUUGAUACUGGCAGUCUUGAGUACAGUUGAGGUAGGCGGAAUUCGUGGUGUAGCGGUGAAAUGCUUAGAUAUCACGAAGAACCCCGAUUGCGAAGGCAGCUUACUAAACUGUGACUGACAUUGAUGCUCGAAAGUGUGGGUAUCAAACAGGAUUAGAUACCCUUGUAGUC